AAAAAAUAAAAUUAAAAUACUAAAAUAGUAUUUAAAUAAAUAUUUAUUGAAACUUAAAUAAUUUGGCGGUAUUUUAGUUCAUUUAGAGGAAUCUGUUUAAUAAUUGAUAUUCCACGAAUAAAUUUACUUAAUUUAUAAUUUUGUAUAUCGUUGUUAUAAAAAUAUUUUUUAAUGAGAUUAAUAUUUAAAAUUUAAUAUAUAAAUUUAAAUCAGAUCAAGAUGCAGAUUAUAAUUAAGAAUAUAAUGGAUUACAAUAAAUUUAUUUAAAUGAAUUUUAAUUUGUAAAAAUUAAUUGAAGGUGGAUUUAAAUGUAAUUUUAUUUAAUUUAAUAAAAUGAUUAAAAAUUAAAAUAUGU
rnacentral:rRNA from 1 species